rnacentral:rRNA from 1 species
UACAGAGGAUGCAAGCGUUAUCCGGAAUGAUUGGGCGUAAAGCGUCUGUAGGUGGCUUUUUAAGUCCGCCGUCAAAUCCCAGGGCUCAACUCUGGACAGGCGGUGGAAACUACCAAGCUUGAGUACGGUAGGGGCAGAGGGAAUUUCCGGUGGAGCGGUGGAAUGCGCAGAUAUCAGGAGGAACACCGAUGGCGAAGGCAGCUCGCUGGGACGGUACUGACGCUGAGGCGCGAAAGCGUGGGGAGCGAACAGG